AGAACGAACGCUGGCGGCAUGCCUAAUACAUGCAAGUCGAACGAACACUUCGGUGUUAGUGGCGCACGGGUGCGUAACGCGUGGGAAUCUGCCCUUGGGUUCGGAAUAACAGUUGGAAACGACUGCUAAUACCGGAUGAUGACGAAAGUCCAAAGAUUUAUCGCCCAGGGAUGAGCCCGCGUAGGAUUAGCUAGUUGGUGAGGUAAAGGCUCACCAAGGCGACGAUCCUUAGCUGGUCUGAGAGGAUGAUCAGCCACACUGGGACUGAGACACGGCCCAGACUCCGUACGGGAGGCAGCAGUAGGGAAUAUUGGACAAUGGGCGCAAGCCUG
rnacentral:rRNA from 1 species